GUGUUCGUAGUGUAGUGGUCUGCACAUGACCCUGUGAAGGUUGAGGCGGCGGGUUCGAUUCCCCCCGAACACC
rnacentral:tRNA from 1 species